rnacentral:tRNA from 2 species
GGCCCUGUAGCCAAGUGGUAAGGCAUGGCACUGCAACUGCCUGAUCGCCGGUUCAAAUCCGACCGGGGCCUCCA